UUUCAUACUAUAUAAAAUAUUUAGAUUUAGAUAUAGCUUUAUUGUCUCCCUUAGGAGAAAUUUGUCUUGGGCAUCGAGAUAAUAAACAUAAAACAUUUAGGACAAUCAGUCAUAGAUACAGAACAGAGAUCACAUAUCACAUGGCAAAGAA